CGGACGGGUGAGUAAUGCCUAGGAAUCUGCCUGGUAGUGGGGGAUAACGUUCGGAAACGGACGCUAAUACCGCAUACGUCCUACGGGAGAAAGCAGGGGACCUUCGGGCCUUGCGCUAUCAGAUGAGCCUAGGUCGGAUUAGCUAGUUGGUGAGGUAAUGGCUCACCAAGGCGACGAUCCGUAACUGGUCUGAGAGGAUGAUCAGUCACACUGGAACUGAGACACGGUCCAGACUCCUACGGGAGGCAGCAGUGGGGAAUAUUGGACAAUGGGCGAAAGCCUGAUCCAGCCAUGCCGCGUGUGUGAAGAAGGUCUUCGGAUUGUAAAGCACUUUAAGUUGGGAGGAAGGGUUGUAGAUUAAUACUCUGCAAUUUUGACGUUACCGACAGAAUAAGCACCGGCUAACUCUGUGCCAGCAGCCGCGGUAAUACAGAGGGUGCAAGCGUUAAUCGGAAUUACUGGGCGUAAAGCGCGCGUAGGUGGUUUGUUAAGUUGGAUGUGAAAUCCCCGGGCUCAACCUGGGAACUGCAUUCAAAACUGACUGACUAGAGUAUGGUAGAGGGUGGUGGAAUUUCCUGUGUAGCGGUGAAAUGCGUAGAUAUAGGAAGGAACACCAGUGGCGAAGGCGACCACCUGGACUAAUACUGACACUGAGGUGCGAAAGCGUGGGGAGCAAACAGGAUUAGAUACCCUGGUAGUCCACGCCGUAAAC
rnacentral:rRNA from 1 species